rnacentral:rRNA from 1 species
AGUGAACGCUGGCGGCAGGCCUAAUACAUGCAAGUCGAACGGCAGCACAGCAGAGCUUGCUCUGUGGGUGGCGAGUGGCGGACGGGUGAGGAAUACAUGGGAAUCUGCCCAGUCGUGGGGGAUAACGUAGGGAAACUUACGCUAAUACCGCAUGCGCCCUUCGGGGAAAGCCGGGGACCUUCGGGCCUGGCGCGAUUGGAUGAGCCCAUGUCGGAUUAGCUAGUUGGCGGGGUAAUGGCCCACCAAGGCGACGAUCCGUAGCUGGUCUGAGAGGAUGAUCAGCCACACUGGAACUGAGACACGGUCCAGACUCCUACGGGAGGCAGCAGUAGGGAAUAUUGGACAAUGGGCGCAAGCCUGAUCCAGCCAUGCCGCGUGAGUGAAGAAGGCCCUCGGGUUGUAAAGCUCUUUUGUCCGGUAAAG